CAGAAUAUAUGCCCAGGAGUGGGAUUGUUGGAUCAUAUGGCGGUUCUACUUUUAGUUUUUUAAGGAACCUCCAUACUGUUCUCCAUAGUGGUUGUACAAGUUUACAUCCCCACCAGCGGUAUAGGAGGAUUCCCCUUUCUCCAUAUCUUCUCCAGCAUUUCCUGUUUGUAGACUUUUUAAUGAUGGCCAUUCUGACUGGUAUGGGCUGAUACCUUAUUGUAGUUUUGAUUUGCAUUUCUCUGACAAUUAGUGAUAUUGAGCAUCUUUUCAUGUGCUUUUUGGCCAUCUGUAUGUCUUUGGAGAAAAGUCUAUUUAGAUCUGCUCAUUCUUUGAUUGGGUUGUUUGUUUUUCUGGCAUAGAGUUACAUGAGCUGCUUACAUAUUUUUUGAGAUUAAUCCCUUGUCAGUUGCUUCACUUGCAAAUAUUUUCUCCCAUUCUGUGAGUUGUCUGUUCAUCUUGUUUAUAGUUUCCUUUGCUGUGCAGAAGCUUUUAAGCUUUAUUAGGAUAAAGAAACUUUAAUGAUAUAUUUACAGAACUUCAGAGUACCUCUCCUACAAAACACUUGUAAUUUCGAUGGGAAACAGAGAAAUCCAAAUUAUGAAACAUUCUACGAAAUAACCAUGCUAAAAUCCUAAAAAAAUUGUCGAGGUCAUGAUCGUCAAGGAAAGAUGCAGAACUGUUCCCCAUUGAAGGAAACUAAAGAGAAAUGGAAACCAAAUGCAUUACCAUGAUUCUGAAGUGGCUCCUUCUGCCAUAAAGAAUAUUUUGGGGACAACGAGUGAAACUUGACUGAGGACUAAAGACCACAAAGAGAAGUGGGCCCAGAAGUGAAAAGCGAGCACUGCCUACAUUCCUGAGGUUUCUUGCCCCAUUCUUGUCCCUCCCGAGACCCAGCAGCAUUUCUACCCAUGGAUUCUGUGCCUUUCUCCUUCUCUUGGAAUCUUGCAGGCCCCCUGGGAACUGGGGGGCACAGAGCUUGCAGUGACAAUCAGGCAACCCAGCCAUGACGUGCUGCAGAGCGUGGAGGAAGAGGAAAUUUGGGCCCAUAUCACUUCUCCUUGAAUCCUGUGACUCAGAUCUCCAUCCUUCCACCACCUCUGCCCCAUUCUUUCCCGGCCCAUGAUAAGACUGAAGGCAGGACAUCGUCCCUGGGCCCGUAACGGUAUGUCCACAGAAUCCAUCUCAACACGGCGACACAGCCAGAUGAUCGGAGCAGGCACAUGGCACACAUUUGCCAUCCCUCACCUUGGAAGGUGUGUACAACUCGGACUUGCAGGGAUGGGAGACAGAGGGAGCAGGCUGAGCAGAGACACCGAGGUGGGCAACACAGACACAUGUGAUGGAGGCUUUUGUUGGGCUUGAUUCUUUCUUUCCUGAAGUUUCUUCCAAGAUUCCCUCUACACACUUAGACAUAAGUUAUCAGCUCCCCGAGGAAAGAGAGAAAGUUGACUCUUCCUGCUCUCUCCAGGAUCUGACACUCAUCAGAUAGAAUGGCCUCCUUAGCUUCGGGCGGCCAGAUCAGAGUCACAGCCACUCCAUGGGGCCAACCACGGUGCCACGAACAGUUGGAGCCCCAGCGAACAUUACAGGAGAGGCCAUAUCUUCUGUCCUCUGGUGUUUGGGGUCUUGUCUCCUGUACAUGGCAGGCAGCAUCCCUUGAACCUGGGAACUUAGUUUAUUUGUUAUCUGAUUGACGUGUCAACAAACAGUGGCAAAGGUUGCACUAGUCCCAAAUGCAGUGAGGCCCAGAACAAGGAGCACCUAAGCUUCACAGAGGAGCAGCGUGAACUGGGCUUGGAGUCAAGAAAGGACAAAGGGGUUAAAGAAAGAGAAUACAGUUCAGGAGGAGAGCUUGGGGCCACUGGCAACAGUUGCAAGGCUGACCAACUGUUUCUCAUAAGGCCCUGCCUGGUGGCAGGGACACAGCCUCUGUUAACCUCCUCCAGAGGGUUCUUUGCAAAUCCUCCUCACUGCCUCAGCCCUCUUGGCCUUACAUCAUUGGCCAGAGCUUUCUCCCUAAGGAGAACAGAGUGCUUCCAGAGUCCCAGAGUGAGUGGUGAUAGAGCAGAGAUUAGGAUCUGACUGAGUUACAGUCCUAGCUUUUCUAUUCUUAACUCUUAGGCUUUUAUGGAGCUCUGGGAGUUGAGCUGCUUUUUAAAAGGCCAAAGGCAUGGUGGGUACAACUUGCUCACCAUUAGGGAAAAAAAUUAAGUUAGAGAUCUGAGUCAUGGCUGACAUUAGAAUAAAUUCCAGAUGGCUGAAACCUUUGAAUGUAAAAUAUAAAAUCAUAAAAAUAGUAAAAGAAGAAGAAUAGAUAGAUGAAUAUUUAUUAAUAUCAUUUUGGAGUGGAAGGGAGUAGAGAAGACCAUUCUAAGUUCAACACCAAAGGCAGAUAAUAAAGAACAAAUUGACACUGGUUUUAAAAUCAUGCACAAGAAGUCUGGCACAAAAGUAGAAAUGUUAAGAAAGAACUUCAAUUUCAAAAUUUCAGCAUUAAUGGAACCUGGGCCAUUCCUUGGGAUUGUUAAUUUGGAAACUGCAUUUGAAGUAUCUAAUGAAAUUUCCCCCUUCCUUAUCCUCACACCUACACUCAUCACCCAGCUGUGGGGGAGAUUCACCUCAAACGAGGCUCUUUGGCCAGAGGUAAGGUCUUAUUCCAAACAGCUAAAGUCCAGAAAGAGAAGAGGAUUGUCAUACCCAAAAGACAAGACAGGUCCUCUUCUUCCUUACCUACACCCACCUCACCUACACCUAACCAAUACGCUCCACUCCUCCACAAAGUUACUACAUGGGGGCUCAGUAAACAAAACAGAUAAAAGUAAGAAUGCACAAUAAAGACAUGGACAAAUAUCUAGAAAACUACACAUUUGAAUAAAGUCAGGAUAAUGAAACAGGACCAUCACAAUCCGCUAUCAGAAAACCUAACAUCAGGAAACAGAAUUAGGGACUUCCCUGGUGAUCCAGUGACUAAGAUUCUGAGCUCCCAAUGCAGGGGGUCCAGGUUUGAUCCCUGGUCAGAGAAUUAGAUCCUUCAUUCAGGAACUAGGAAUUUGCAUGCCACAACUAAAGAUCCUGCAUGCUGCAACAAAGAUCAAUGAUCCUGAGUGAUGCAACUAGGACCUGAAGCAGCCAAAUAAAUAUUAAAUAGGCAGAAUUAACAAAUACUAAAGAACAAGACUUCAGAUUCACUGCAAUUAAUAGGUUCACAAGAAAUGUGAAAGGAUAUUUCAUAUAUUUAAAAAAAAAUCAACUGGAGAUUUUGGAAAUUUAAGAACUCAGUUUUCCAAAUAAAAAUUCAAUGGACUAAUCACAAAACAGAUAUUGCUGAAGGGUGAAUAACAAAGUUGAAAGAUCAAAUGGAGAAAUUCUCCCAAAAUGCAGUUCAAAAGAACAGAGAUGGGCAGUAUAAAAGAAAAGUUAGAUAGGAAUUCCCUGGCAGUCCAGUGGUUAGAACUUGGUGCUUUUUUUGCCAGGGCCUGGUUUCGAUCACUGGUCAGGGAACCAAGAUCCCACAAGCCCCAUGGUGCAGCUAAUAAUAAUAAAAGUUAGAAGACAGAGAGAGGUCAGUUUAUUCCACUGCCAGUAGUUUGCCAACCUCUCUGCUUUAUGGUUCAGUGUUCUCAUUUGUAAGAUGGAAACAAUAAUUAUGCCUACUUCAUAGGUUUCUGGGAAUUAAAUAGGGUUCUGUGUCAAGUACUUUGCUCACCACCUUCACACAAUAAGUAACCAAUAAAUGUUACUGUUGAUAAUAAUGUGAUUGUUGAUGUAGGUGCUGAGAAUGAAGAAGGGGCUCGUGUUUAUUCAUCACCUACUGUGCACACAGCAAGGCUGAAUCUUAAAGGGACUUGGAAGGUUUCAUUUAGUUAUUUUUAUUACUUAAUGAAAAACACCUCAUGUUGGCAUAGAAAAAAAGUGGGGAAUCCAUGGAGGAUGGAUCCAGAAAUUCUACCAUCCUAUUUUAUAGGAAUUUCAGAAAGGGAGAACAGAGGGAAUGGAAGGGAAAAAAAUUAAAAAAGAAAGCAAUGACAUAUUGUUUCCUAGAAGUGAAGAAAGGAAUAAGCUUUCACAGUGAAAUGGCCCACUGA